rnacentral:tRNA from 1 species
GAGGGCAUAGCUCUGUGGUAGAGUGUGUGCUUAGCAUGCACAAGGUCCUGGGUUUGAACCCCAGUACCUCCA